rnacentral:rRNA from 1 species
GACGAACGCUGGCGGCGUGCUUAACACAUGCAAGUCGAACGUGAUUUUUAAGGAAAGCCCUUCGGGGAAGGAAUUAAAAUGAAAGUGGCGAACGGGUGAGUAACACGUGAGCAACCUACCUUACACAGGGGGAUAGCCGUUGGAAACGACGAUUAAUACCGCAUGAGACCACAGAACCGCAUGGUAUAGGGGUCAAAGAUUUAUUGGUGUAAGAAGGGCUCGCGUCUGAUUAGCUAGUUGGAAGGGUAAAGGCCUACCAAGGCGACGAUCAGUAGCCGGUCUGAGAGGAUGAACGGCCACAUUGGAACUGAGACACGGUCCAAACUCCUACGGGAGGCAGCAGUGGGGAAUAUUGCACAAUGGGGGGAACCCUGAUGCAGCGACGCCGCGUGAGCGAAGAAGGUUUUUCGAAUCGUAAAGCUCUGUCCUAUGAG